AGCGAAAAUGAUGAGCUCGUUUAAAUCUGAAUUCGGGUGUGGAAUCGCGAUUGUCUUCAAAGUUCUCUGAUUGCU